rnacentral:rRNA from 1 species
UGGGGAAUAUUGCACAAUGGGCGCAAGCCUGAUGCAGCCAUGCCGCGUGUGUGAAGAAGGCCUUCGGGUUGUAAAGCACUUUCAGCGAGGAGGAAGGUGGUGAACUUAAUACGUUCAUCAAUUGACGUUACUCGCAGAAGAAGCACCGGCUAACUCCGUGCCAGCAGCCGCGGUAAUACGGAGGGUGCAAGCGUUAAUCGGAAUUACUGGGCGUAAAGCGCACGCAGGCGGUUUGUUAAGUCAGAUGUGAAAUCCCCAGGCUCAACCUGGGAACUGCAUUUGAAACUGGCAAGCUAGAGUCUCGUAGAGGGGGGUAGAAUUCCAGGUGUAGCGGUGAAAUGCGUAGAGAUCUGGAGGAAUACCGGUGGCGAAGGCGGCCCCCUGGACGAAGACUGACGCUCAGGUGCGAAAGCGUGGGGCAGCAAACAGGAUUAGAUACCCUGGUAGUCCACGCUGUAAACGAUGUCGAUUUUGGAGGUUGUGCCCCUUGAGGCGUGGCUUCCGGAGCUAACGCGUUAAAUCGACCG